ACUCACAGGGAUCCGCCUGCCUCAGUAGCAGUUUAUAUGUGCUGGAGAGAUGAUGUAGUGAUUAAGAGCACUUUCUGCUCUUGCAGAGGACUCAGGUUCAGUUCUUAGAAUCCAUAUGAUAACUCAAAAGUGUGUGUGACUCCAGUACCAGAUGAUCCAACACACUCUUGGCCUCCUCAGGCACCAGGCAUCACAUGCUGCAUACACAUAAGUGCAGGUAAAACACUCAUAUAAAUUAAAUUCUCAAAAAUACAGAGAUGGGCUUGGUGGAACAUACCUUUAGUCCCAGCACUCAAGAGUCAGAGCCAAGCAUUUCUAAGAAUUCAAGGCCAACUUGGUCUACAUCUUGAGUUCCAAGCUAGUCAAAGCUACAUAGUGAGACCCUGUCUCAAAACAAAAAAGGGAUAGAGGCUAGGUGUAGUAUCAGACAGCUGUAAAAUUCCCUUCUAAAUGUUUACUUGUGUAUGUGUUUAAUAUAUGCAUGUGUGUGCAGGUGCGCAUAUGCUUGCAGAGGCCAUAAAAGUUAGGAUCUUUCUCUUUUGCUUUCCACCUUAUCUUUUCAGGAGGGUCCCAUUGAACCCAGAGCUCCCUGAUUGACCAGAGUGAAAGGCCCUCAUGUUUGGGGAUCACCCAUUUUACCUACUGAACCCUCUCCCCAAACCGUGAAAUUUUGCUAUUCUUGAAAAAAAUGUUUAAGGUUGCUGGGGAGAUGGUGGGAACUGAACCCAAGAACUCCUGCAUGUUCUACAUACUCAACUAAAACCCCAGCUCUUGAGAGAUUUAUAAGAACUGUAUAAAACAGUCUUUUUUUUUUCAAUAAGAACCCAAAGUGCUGCACA